rnacentral:sRNA from 2 species
GGGGAAGGAUGAGAAGCUUCGACUAAGGUUCGAUUCGAGCGAAAGCGAGAAAGCGUUGCCAACGGCAACGACCCGAAGGGCGAAGCGCGCAGCGCUGAGUAAUCCUUCCCCCGUCAUCC